AGAAAAUUGGCGCAAGGAAGAGAAUUGGUUAGCAAAGGAUGGCAACAGAUGAUCUGGAGAUACCUGAAGGAUCUGUCCGGAACAUACUAGACCAAGAGACCCUCAAGUGGGUCUUCGUCGGAGGCAAAGGUGGUGUCGGAAAAACCACUUGCAGUUCCAUUCUCUCGGUCCUUUUGGCUAGGGUCAGAUCCUCUGUCUUGAUCAUAUCCACUGACCCAGCUCACAAUCUUAGCGAUGC
rnacentral:misc_RNA from 1 species